rnacentral:pre_miRNA from 1 species
AACAAAUACAGCCGUGGAUAUCCGUGCCCAACGUUUGACCGUCCGUCUUAUUUAAAAUUUUUUAAAAAAAUUUCAAAAUAUUUAGUCACACAUAAAGUAUUAUUCAUGUUUUAUCAUCUAAUAGCAAUAAAAAUACUAAUCAUAAUUUUUUUUUCAAAUAAGACGAACGGUCAAACGUUGAACAUAAAUAGUGUAAAACUACACAUAUU